rnacentral:rRNA from 1 species
AGAGUUUGAUUAUGGCUCAGGAUGAACGCUGGCGGCAUGCCUAACACAUGCAAGUCGAACGGAGUUAAGGAGUAGCUUGCUAUGAAUUAACUUAGUGGCGGACGGGUGAGUAACGCGUGAGUAACCUGCCUCUCAGAGGGGGAUAACGUUCUGAAAAGAACGCUAAUACCGCAUAUAAUUAUGAGGUCGCAUGACUUUUAUAAUGAAAGGAGCAAUCCGCUGAGAGAUGGACUCGCGUCUGAUUAGCUUGAUGGUGAGGUAACGGCUCACCAUGGCGACGAUCAGUAGCCGGACUGAGAGGUUGAACGGCCACAUUGGGACUGAGACACGGCCCAGACUCCUACGGGAGGCAGCAGGUGGGGGAUAUUACGCAAUGGGGGGAAAAACCCCUGACGUAGCAAUGCCGCGUGAAGGAAGUAAGGUUUUCGGAUUGUAAACUUCUUUUGUCAGGGACGAUAAUGACGGUACCUGACGAAUAAGCUCCGGCUAACUAUGUGCCAGCCGCCGC